CCAAAAGGCGAGAAAUCGCUUUUCAACCCGUUAGGUGGCCCUCCUGGGCUGCUGAACCGGCCAACCCUUUGUCGAACAAAUAGCCUCUUCGUUUCGGCAGCUGGCUGACCGCUGUCAGCCUGCCGCCUAGCACAACUCUUAAACUCUGUUGUAUUUAAAGUAUUCAAUCUCUGAUAACUAUUUAAAUUAUCA
rnacentral:misc_RNA from 1 species